rnacentral:rRNA from 1 species
CCCUUAGAUGUUCUGGGCCGCACGCGCGCUACACUGAUGCAUUCAACGAGCCUAUCCUUGACCGACAGGUCCGGGUAAUCUUUGAAUCUGCAUCGUGACGGGGAUAGAUUAUUGCAAUUAUUAAUCUUCAACGAGGAAUGCCUAGUAGGCGCAAGUCAUCAGCUUGCGUCGAUUACGUCCCUGCCCUUUGUACACACCGCCCGUCGCUCCUACCGAUUGGGUGUGCUGGUGAAAUGUUCGGAUCGGCCGUUUGUCGCGGUUUCCGCGUCAUGUGGCUGAGCAGUUCAUUAAACCCUCCCACCUAGAGGAAGGAGAAGUCGUAACA